GGAGGACCAUGCCGAUGCCCUCGAAGGCGUAGACCGCGACGCCGGCGCCGUAGAGGAGGACGGACGGACCGGCGAAUGCGUGGAUGGGCGGGGGGCGGGAGACCAUGAUGGAGACGUCCUCGGCGAUGACGACGCCCAUGGCGCCGAGGUCAACCACGUCGGCGAAGAUGCUGAGCGGGGCGAGGAGGGUGAGGCUCCGGAUGGAGUUGAGGCCCAGCUGGAAGGGCAGCAUGGCCAGAACGUAGAGGGCUUUAGAGGAGAGGAAGGGGAGGGAGAGAGGGAGGAGGUGGGUGAGGGAGCUGGAGAUGAAGAUGAGGUAACCGACGCAGAACCCGGCCUGGCUAAGCACGAUCAUGGCAUCGACGGCCAGGCGGCCGAGGGAGCCGGAUACGGCGAGGCCGAGGUCGCCGAAGGAGGCGAUCUUGGCAGAUCCGUCAAGGUCGAGGCGGCGGCGGGUGCGGACGAUGAGCAUCAUGCAGUGGAAGGUGAGGGCGGCGACGGCGAGGAGGAGGAGGGCGCCGGCGGCCCACCCGGUGCGCCGGAACGCGUACGGGAGGCCCAGGACGCCGGAGCCCACGAUCGCGAUGAACACGUUCGCGAACGUCUUGGGCUGCGACGACAGCCGACCCCGGAGGUCGCCGCCGCCCACCGACGGAAGC
rnacentral:lncRNA from 1 species